CGUAGCUCAUUUCCAUUUCCUCUCCACACCACCACACCUCAAGACCACAACAACAUUCUCCUCUGCCUUGUUAUCAUCGACGAGAGAGCUAGAGAGGGAGCUGCAUCCGUGCGUCCGAAAGGAAAGAAAAGAAAGGAAAUCGCGCGAGCUGCAACCUGUCCGUUCUGUCCGUAAGCUAAAGAGGAGAAAGGAGGGAGGCUACGUGAGCUUUAUCCCUUGCUGCAACCUCAACCAGCUACAAAACAACCUCAGAACCCAACACCAUCACAGCAGCAACCAACCUGCAGCCACAAGCGAGCCGAGAGCCGAG
rnacentral:lncRNA from 1 species